rnacentral:pre_miRNA from 1 species
CUAGUACUCCCUCCGUUCGGAAUUACUCGUCCAAGAAAUGAAUAUAUCUAGAUGUAUUUUAGUUGUAAAUACAUCCAUUUUUGUGACAAGUAAUUCUGAACGGAGGGAGUAGUUU